UACAGAGGUCUCGAGCGUUGUUCGGAUUCAUUGGGCGUAAAGGGCGCGUAGGCGGCGGGGCAAGUCUGGUGUGAAAUCUCGGAGCUCAACUCCGAAAUUGCACUGGAUACUGCUCUGCUAGAGGGCUGGAGAGGAGAUCGGAAUUCACGGUGUAGCAGUGAAAUGCAUAGAUAUCGUGAGGAAGACCAGUGGCGAAGGCGGAUCUCUGGACAGCUCCUGACGCUGAGGCGCGAAGGCUAGGGGAGCAAACGGG
rnacentral:rRNA from 1 species